rnacentral:rRNA from 1 species
CCCAAGGGUUGGGCUGUUCGCCCAUUAAAGCGGUACGCGAGCUGGGUUUAGAACGUCGUGAGACAGUUCGGUCCCUAUCCGCUGUGCGCGUAGGAGUCUUGAGAAGGGCUGUCCCUAGUACGAGAGGACCGGGACGGACGAACCUCUGGUGUGCCAGUUGUCCUGCCAAGGGCAUGGCUGGUUGGCUACGUUCGGGAGGGAUAACCGCUGAAAGCAUCUAAGCGGGAAGCCUGCUUCGAGAUGAGGACUCCCACCCACUUGAUGGGGUAAGGCUCCCAGUAGACGACUGGGUUGAUAGGCCGGAUCUGGAAGCCAGGUAACUGGUGGAGGUGACCGGUACUAAUAGGCCGAGGGCUUGUCCUCAGUUG